rnacentral:rRNA from 1 species
CAGCAGCCGCGGUAAUACGUAGGUGGCAAGCGUUGUCCGGAAUUAUUGGGCGUAAAGCGCGCGCAGGCGGUUUCUUAAGUCUGAUGUGAAAGCCCACGGCUCAACCGUGGAGGGUCAUUGGAAACUGGGAAACUUGAGUGCAGAAGAGGAGAGCGGAAUUCCACGUGUAGCGGUGAAAUGCGUAGAGAUGUGGAGGAACACCAGUGGCGAAGGCGGCUCUCUGGUCUGUAACUGACGCUGAGGCGCGAAAGCGUGGGGAGCGAACAGGAUUAGAUACCCUGGUAGUCCACGCCGUAAACGAUGAGUGCUAAGUGUUGGAGGGUUUCCGCCCUUCAGUGCUGCAGCUAACGCAUUAAGCACUCCGCCUGGGGAGUACGGUCGCAAGACUGAAACUCAAAGGAAUUGAC